rnacentral:rRNA from 1 species
AUUGAACGCUGGCGGCAGGCCUAACACAUGCAAGUCGAACGAGUGGCGGACGGGUGAGUAAUGUAUGGGAAACUGCCCGAUGGAGGGGGAUAACUACUGGAAACGGUAGCUAAUACCGCAUACUAUUGGAUGUGCCCCGAUGGGAUUAGCUAGUUGGUGGGGUAAAGGCUCACCUAGGCGACGAUCCGUAGCUGGUCUGAGAGGACGACCAGCCACACUGUAACUGAGACACGGUCCAGACUCCUACGGGAGGCAGCAGUGGGGAAGAUUGCACAAUGGGCGAAAGCCUGAUGCAGCCAUGCCGCGUGUAUGAAGAAGGCCUUCGGGUUGUAAAGUACUUUCGGCAGGGAGGCGUUACCCGCAGAAGAAGCACCGGCUAACUCCGUGCCAGCAGCCGCGGUAAUAC